AGACACGGUCCAGACUCCUACGGGAGGCAGCAGUGGGGAAUAUUGCACAAUGGGGGAAACCCUGAUGCAGCCAUGCCGCGUGUGUGAAGAAGGCCUUCGGGUUGUAAAGCACUUUCAGCGAGGAGGAAAGGUUGAUGCCUAAUACGUAUCAGCUGUGACGUUACUCGCAGAAGAAGCACCGGCUAACUCCGUGCCAGCAGCCGCGGUAAU
rnacentral:rRNA from 1 species